AGAGGGUGCGAGCGUUAAUCGGAAUUACUGGGCGUAAAGCGCGCGUAGGCGGUUUGUUAAGUCGGAUGUGAAAUCCCCGGGCUCAACCUGGGAAUUGCAUUCGAUACUGGCAAGCUAGAGUAUGGGAGAGGAGGGUAGAAUUCCAGGUGUAGCGGUGAAAUGCGUAGAGAUCUGGAGGAAUACCGAUGGCGAAGGCAGCCUUCUGGCCUAAUACUGACGCUGAGGUGCGAAAGCAUGGGGAGCAAACAGGAUUAGAUACCCUGGUAGUCCAUGCCCGUAAACGAUGUCAACUAGCCGUUGGGGGAUUUGAUCCUUUAGUGGCGCAGCUAACGCGAUAAGUUGACCGCCUGGGGAGUACGGUCGCAAGACUA
rnacentral:rRNA from 1 species